rnacentral:RNase_P_RNA from 1 species
AAAGCUAACCGGUCUGUCGCUAUCUUUUUUGAUAGAGGAAAGUCCGGGCAACGCAGAGCAUUCCACUUCCUAACAGAAAGUUGCUGGUAACGGCAAAGUAGUGUAGAAGAAAACAACCGCCCUUUACAGGGUAAGGGUGAGAAGGUAAGGUAAGAGCUUACCAGGUGCGUGGCGACACGUAUGCUGUACACCUUGGAAGUUGCAAGAUCGUGUAAACCGGCGUCAGAGGGCUGCUCGCUCAAGCCGGAGGGUAGAUCGCUAGAACCUGUCGGCAACGGCAGGUCGAGAUUAAUGACAGACAGGAUUAUUCCUACAGAACCCGGCUUAUAGGUUAGCUUUUAUU